UCCGAUUUGGCACCGGCGGUCUCCCAUGAGUCCCCGGCAUUACCCGCUGGUAACUAGCAAUAGGGGUUGCGUUCGUUGCGGGACUUAACCCAACAUCUCACGACACGAACUGACGACAGCCAUGCAGCACCUAACUACAGGCUCUCCGAAGAGCACCCCGAGACUUCUCCCAGGUUCCUGCAUUUUCUAGCCCAGGUAAGGUUCUUCGCGUUGCGUCGAAUUAAACCACAUGCUCCACCGCUUGUGCGGGCCCCCGUCAAUUCCUUUGAGUUUUAGCCUUGCGGCCGUACUUCCCAGGCGGGGUGCAUAAUGCGUUAGCUACGGCACGGAUCCCGUGGAAGGAAACCCACACCUAGCGCCCACCGUUUACGGCGUGGACUAC
rnacentral:misc_RNA from 1 species